GGAGUACGGCCGCAAGGUUAAAACUCAAAUGAAUUGACGGGGGCCCGCACAAGCGGUGGAGCAUGUGGUUUAAUUCGAUGCAACGCGAAGAACCUUACCUGGUCUUGACAUCCAUAGAAUCUUUCAGAGAUGAGAGAGUGCCUUCGGGAGCUAUGAGACAGGUGCUGCAUGGCUGUCGUCAGCUCGUGUUGUGAAAUGUUGGGUUAAGUCCCGCAACGAGCGCAACCCCUAUCCUUUGUUGCCAGCACGUAAUGGUGGGAACUCAAAGGAGACUGCCGUUGAUAAAGCGGAGGAAGGUGGGGACGACGUCAAGUCAUCAUGGCCCUUACGACCAGGGCUACACACGUGCUACAAUGGCGUAUACAAAGGGAUGCGAAGGUGCGAACUGGAGCGGACCUCACAAAGUACGUCUAAGUCCGGAUUGGAGUCUGCAACUCGACUCCAUGAAGUCGGAAUCGCUAGUAAUCGUGAAUCAGAAUGUCACGGUGAAUACGUUCCCGGGCCUUGUACACACCGCCCGUCACACCAUGGGAGUGGGUUGCACCAGAAGUAGAUAGCUUAACCUUCGGGAGGGCGUUUACCACGGUGUGGUUCAUGACUGGGGUGAAGUCGUAACAAGGUAACCA
rnacentral:rRNA from 1 species